rnacentral:misc_RNA from 1 species
GGAUGGCAGAGUAGGCGAAGUUAGAGGAGUGAUGGGGCUUGAGGGAGAGAUUCUCGGGAGAGGAUCUUGAAGCGAGGAGCUCAAAAGAAAUGCGACAGUAGCUACUACAACUCUCGCUGCUCAUUGAACUGUUGGUAGAAUUAGUGGUCUUGAAACUGAGAUCACCGUCGGAGGAGUCGCGGUGGCCGCACUCUAACAUCUUAAAAAUCAAGAAUCCAAUCGUGUAGGCUUCCUUUUUUCUCUCCCACUCUCGCUGGCGAGAAGAAGAAAGAAUUAAAAAAAAAAAUGUCAAAGGGCGAAAAAGAAAUGGAAUCUGACAAA